rnacentral:rRNA from 1 species
GACGAACGCUGGCGGCGUGCUUAACACAUGCAAGUCACGGGGGUGCAGCAAUGCACAACCGGCGAACGGGUGCGUAACACGUGAGCAACCUACCGUUUUGUGGGGGAUAGCCGGCCCAACGGCCGGGUAAUACCGCAUGUGAUGAUCGGCCCACCUGGGCCGAUCAUCAAAGUCUUAUAGACGCAAAUCGAGGGGCUCGCGGCCUAUCAGCUAGUUGGCGAGGUCACGGCNCACCAAGGCGACGACGGUAGCUGGUCUGAGAGGAUGGCCAGCCACAUUGGGACUGAGAAACGGCCCAGACUCCUACGGGAGGCAGCAGUGGGGAAUCUUGCGCAAUGGGCGAAAGCCUGACGCAGCGACGCCGCGUGGGGA